UACGUGGUGUCUGACAGACCAAAGCGAUGGUUAGCCAGGAGCAGCAUUGAGUUUAAAUAGCAUCCCUCGUGCGGGGAGGCGGUACCGGGGUUCGAGGCCAAGGCCGAAGGACUUCCGGGCCGUCAUAUCCUUAAGAAUGAGCUUUCAUAGCUACUGGUCUAAUGCGGUGAUUGCCCACCACAGCACGUUGUGAGGUCACCCACAGGCUCAAACUGCCGAUCGCGGGUCCCAGGACGAUGGCAACGAUGCGUAGCUCUGCUCGGGGGGUCAAAUCCCCGGGCAUCACGCGUGUCUAGUCGUGGGCCGGGCGGCGACCGAGAUAAACCUGGUACGAUCCUCUUGCGACGAGCUGCUUUCUGGCCAGAUAGAAGGACCCAGGCGCUUCCCACUUGUCGGGAGGCGUCGACUCCAGGUGAGUUUGGCCCAGCUGCAUUCUGCAAGGUCUCUCGCCGGGCCUUCGGUCUGAGUGGUGUAAAGUCCAGCACCGUCGGUCACGUCUCGAAACACGGGCCAAGGAGCAUAGCAUGUGUGCAAGUCUAAGGGUCCCUCAAAACCCGACGGCGAAAGUGAAAGCAAGACUGUGGCGGGGGAGUCACGCGGCGAACCCGCCGGCCUAGUGGCGCGCUUGCGCGCUGCCUGGCUUUCAGCAGAGCUGAUCCUGUAAUCUCGGUUAAAUCUUGGUGCAGGCGCAAGCUCCGGGCUCACGUACAACACUGGUCGCUUGCGGCUGUGUUGUGAGCACCGUGUAGCAUGCAUGCUAUAACCCGAAAGAUAGUGAACUAUGCCUGGCGAGGGCGAAGCCCCAGGAAACUGGGGUGGAGGCCCGUAGCCGUUGUGACGUGCAAAUCCAUGGUAUCAG
rnacentral:rRNA from 1 species